UAUACAUCUAUAUAAUACAAAGCUUAUAUUACAUUGUAUAGUGGUUGUUUAUAUUUUAGUGGGUGCCUCGAUUAUAAAACUGAUGUUUUUGGUUUUCAAUGGAUCAGGAUUCAAUUACCGAAAUACAGAAAAAGUAGGUGACCGAUAAAUGACGUUGGAACUGUGAGAGAAGAAAAAGAAAGCACGAAGACACGCGAGAUAAGUACAGGCAACUAUAUGCAAGUCGCAAAAGGACAAAGCCAUAACAGGCACGAAAGAUGUCUGUCGCGCCGUCGUUAAAUCGUUAUCUCCUCGCGGGUUCAUUACACCGCCAACGGCGCUAACUGCUAAGUGUAAUAGUUACUAUUGAAUGAAUAGGUAGUCACGACUCACGACUAGCAUGUCACCGUGCGAUCGGAUUGUAUAUUUUACAUAAUAUAUUUUUAUAAUUUUAAAACGAGCUUUUAUUUCCAAUAGUCGUUUUUAUCAAAAAAUUUAAUGUGUAUAUCGUACAUUUCGUCCAUACGUGGUCCAAAAACCUAGACAAGGGCAAAUCAAAAUUAUCAAAAUAUCACAAAGAAAUUUGUACUAAAUAAGUAUAUUCUAUUAUCAA